CAUGAAAUCCCUAAGGGGAUAUUUAGCAGAACUCGCAGAACUGCCACUGGAGUGUCAGCCGACAGAGGUUACACCUUGUAACUCCCUGGUUUUUUAACUGCAGUUGAGUUUUUUAUUCUCUUCUUGUCUUCUUCUGUGCAUUUUUUUUUCACUUUACCCCGAAUAUUUUGCAUGCCUGCCCCCUUUUUCAAAAUGUAAGGUUUUCAUUUAUUCGGUUAUAAAUGAAGGAAGUUGAUGGUAAAGUUGUUCCUGCACAUCCUGCAGAAGUGUUUCUCAGGGGAAAUGUUCUCUCCCUUCAGUUGGACCCCUGAAGUUGAUGUUUUCUCCAGCACCCCCAUGCCCCACUCUCACCCCAGUCUGGCUAACUGCUUUAAAUGGCUUAUUUGAGUGAGAGCUUCAACAAUUUGGAAACUGCCCUGAGACAAGGACCCGUGAUGGAUUCAUGAUUGACCUCUUGAUUAUCCGCGGCCAUUUGAGGAAGAUUAAAAGGGCAUGGCAGGAGAGGUACAUUAGCUGCAAUCAAUCUGCUGCUCCCUUCUUCCUUUCUCCUUCACACAGACUGAUUCAUCAAAGGACAUUUGCAAUGCCUCAUUUCAGAGAUUCUGGCUUCAAAGCCAGGCUUUAUUUUACAAAGAGAAAAAUACUAAAGUCUCUUGCUAGAUCCCUUCAGGGCCAAAGAAAAAAAAGAAUCAUCCUCUAAUUGUCACUUCUAUGCUGGCUCUGGAAAAAAAAAAAAAGAUAAGUACAUAUGUAAGGGAAGUCAUUUUUCAUUUGAAAAGUGUAAAGGAAAAACUAGUCCCUUUUGUUUUAUCCCACCAUAAUUUCUUUGUCAGUUUCUCUGGGCUAGUCAUUGGUAGGAAAUCUACAUGCCUAGAAAACUACAGAGGGCAUAUAAAGAUUUUAAUUUAAACAUUAGCUUCUCAGGUAAAUGAAGCUAGGUUCCUGCCUUUGCAAUCUAGUUCACACAGGGCCAAUUUUAUUCUUGUUCCAUUAUUUCAUCGAGCUUCUGUGAUCACCAGUCUCCCUUUGAAGUUGGUUGGAACUCUGAGCACAGAUAGAUUCCCUGGGUCUUGGAGUAAAAUGAGUAGUAGAUCUGUAACCUCACAGUUCCAAAGGCUUGCUUGUGCUCUUGCUCGCUCUCUCUCUCUCUCUCCCUCUCCCCUUGAGGUCCUCCUCCAUGCUCUGGAAAUGGCUAAAAUUUGUAUGACUUCUGAAAUGAGAUCUGUCACACUAACUUGCUAAAUGUAGGAAUUUUAGUGAACAAACAACUUGUGUGCAAAACAAAAAUUACCAUAAAGUUUGAUUUUGUUUCAGGUUAUCUUUUUUAGAUAGGUUAAACAAUCCAGAAAAUAUAAAACCAGAAUGACCAUAUGCAAUCACAUCACAUGUGACUUUUAAGGAUGAUAUUGGAUAAGAGGUCACACAAGCUAGAUUUUCAUGCCAGAGAUAAUCAUUCAAUCCAUCUGGUUGUUUGUACCCCUUUAGUCCUAUCUCUGGCUUGGGGAGCAGUGCCACAGCUGAUGUGGUCAGAAGCUACCACAGGGACCUUGGCCUCCCCAUCCCCACAUAAACUUGAGGGUCACAAACCCAUUAUGUGUUCUUAUGAUAGGAAAAAAGAAAGGUGUGGUCCACAAUGUGGUAAAAAAUAAAAACAAAACAACAACAACAACAAACCCUGAUCAGUGGAUCUAGAAUAGGGUGAUUCAUUGUUCCAGUUUGCCCAGAUCUGAGGGGUUUCCUGGGAUGUGGGCCUUUCCAUGUGCCUUUCUCUAUAAAACUGGCCAUAAGGAAAUUAUCUGACCUACAUUGUUUGACUGCAGGUCAUGAGACCCCCCCUACCCCAUUCCAGAGAGGGUCUUGCCUCACACCCAGAAAGAAGGAAUGCUGCACAGAGGGGCCUAGAAGAAUCUAACUAGAGAGAAGAAUCUAACUAGAGAGAAGAAUCUAAGCAGACAGAAGAAUCUAACCAGACAGGCCUUGAUGUGUUUCCCCACCCAGUUCAUUAGCAUUGGAUCAUGCCCUUUUCGUCCAAUUAUAUUUCUACAUGGGUAUCCAAAUGAGUGUCCAUCCUUUGUUGAAUCUAAGCAUCAAAAGGGGCAUCUCCCUCUGUAUCUUUGAGUCUUCAUUCUGAAGGCUUCUGUGUUAGGUAAAACUAUGAUCAAAUAAAUUUGUGUGUCUUUUCUCCUAUUAAUCUGCCUUUUGUCAGCUACUUUCAGCAAACCUUCAGAGGGCAAAGGAGAGUUUUCCAACGGCCCCUACAUCUUGAAAAGUAACGUGUGGGAACAAAGGGUCCAUAUGUGUACCAGACAACAACAAUCAUCUGGAGUUGUCGUGCACCGACCCAUAGAACAUGGAAACAGUAUGCCUCCUACUCACUUACAUUAACUGCCUAGGUCCUGCAGGCAUUUGAAUAGGCAGCUCCUGAACUAGAUCAGAGAUUGGCAAUAAAUUCACGUGAGGCUCCCCUACCUUGGAGUAAUGGCCCUUGAUCAAAAUUUUGGAAGAAAGAUUGCUUCUGUGCUGCUAAUUCUCAAAUGAACCCAGAUAUUAACAUCCUAGUGGCCCCCAAAAUAAAAA
rnacentral:lncRNA from 1 species